AUGGUUUCUGAUGCAGACGCAGACGCAGACUUCCUCGUCGGGCCGGAUGCGGCAUGCGUGGGGCUCGUGGAGGACACUGCAGGCUGGAAGCUUGUCCAGUCCCGCCGUGCGCGGCAGGCACCUCGGUCACCUUCGGUUUUCAUGCCUCAACAGCGUCCCCGGCCGCCCGCGUGGCUCUGGAAUAGAUGUUUCCGUUGCUUCGGAAAAGGUCAUCGAGCAGCGGAGUGCAGGGAUCCAAUUCGGUGCAACAGAUGCUUUCGCUCGGGACACCGUGCACGGGAUGGCUGCAAGCUGGUGCAUCCGCAGCCUUCUGCAAGUUCUACUCGACCGCUGGCUCAUUCUUGGGCUACGAUUGUUGCGCCUUCAUAG
rnacentral:rRNA from 1 species